CAGAGGGUGCAAACGUUGUUCGGAAUUACUGGGCGUAAAGCGCGUGUAGGCGGCUAUGUAAGUCGGGCGUGAAAUCCCACGGCUCAACUGUGGAAGAGCACUCGAAACUGCGUAGCUAGAGUCCUGGAGAGGAAGGUGGAAUACUUGGUGUAGAGGUGAAAUUCGUAGAUAUCAAGUGGAACACCAGUGGCGAAGGCGGCCUUCUGGACAGUGACUGACGCUGAGACGCGAAAGCGUGGGGAGCAAACAGGAUUAGAUACCCUGGUAGUCCACGCCGUAAACGAUGAGUGCUAGGUGUCACGGGCUUUGACCCUCGUGGUGCCGCAGCUAACGCGCUAAGCACUCCGCCUGGGGAGUACGGCCGCAAGGCUA
rnacentral:rRNA from 1 species